rnacentral:rRNA from 1 species
GACGAACGCUGGCGGCGUGCUUAACACAUGCAAGUCGAACGGACAGGCCCUGCUUUUGUGGGGUGCUCGAGUGGCGAACGGGUGAGUAACACGUGAGUAACCUGCCCUUGUCUUUGGGAUAACUUCAGGAAACUGGGGCUAAUACCGGAUAGGAGCUCCUGCUGCAUGGUGGGGGUUGGAAAGUUUCGGCGGUUGGGGAUGGACUCGCGGCUUAUCAGCUUGUUGGUGGGGUAGUGGCUUACCAAGGCUUUGACGGGUAGCCGGCCUGAGAGGGUGACCGGCCACAUUGGGACUGAGAUACGGCCCAGACUCCUACGGGAGGCAGCAGUGGGGAAUAUUGCACAAUGGGCGGAAGCCUGAUGCAGCAACGCCGCGUGCGGGAUGACGGCCUUCGGGUUGUAAACCGCUUUCGCCUGUGACGAGGCGUGAGUGACGGUAAUGGGUAAAGAAGCACCGGCUAACUACGUG